rnacentral:rRNA from 1 species
CAGCAGCCACGGUAAUACGAAGGGGGCUAGCGUUGUUCGGAUUUACUGGGCGUAAAGGGCGCGUAGGCGGACUGAUAAGUCAGGGAUGAAAUCCCAAGGCUCAACCUUGGAACUGCCUUUGAUACUGUUUGUCUUGAGUUCGAGAGAGGUAAGUGGAACUGCGAGUGUAGAGGUGAAAUUCGUAGAUAUUCGCAAGAACACCAGUGGCGAAGGCGGCUUACUGGCUCGAAACUGACGCUGAGGCGCGAAAGCGUGGGGAGCAAACAGGAUUAGAUACCCCUGUAGUCCCUGUCUCUUAUAU